CGCGUAGGCGGUUUGCACAGUCAGGCGUGAAAUUCCCGGGCUUAACCUGGGGGCUGCGUUUGAUACUCGCAGACUAGAGGAUGGAAGAGGGUCGUGGAAUUCCCAGUGUAGAGGUGAAAUUCGUAGAUAUUGGGAAGAACACCGGUGGCGAAGGCAGCGACCUGGUCCAUUACUGACGCUGAGGCGCGACAGCGUGGGGAGCAAACA
rnacentral:rRNA from 1 species